ensembl:lncRNA
GCCGGGAGGGCCCAAAACAGCCGAACGAGGGGCGUUGCCCUGAGGAGGGCCCUCUUCGGUGCUGGGAGCUGGAGGCCUGGGGAUCACGACUUCAGCCUCUGAAAGACACAGCUUGGGACCCAGCCGGCCUGCGGCAGGACAAAGCCAAGACCUGUGCCUCCAAACCCCGCCCUCGGCCUGGCACAAUUGAGGGCCUGAGUUUGGAAACCAAACCGUAUUUGUGGAAAGGUCUUUUCCUGGCCUUAACCUAUCUCCUCCCGUCAAUAUACUGAUCGGGGCUCAUGAAUUUUCAAGGGACCAUCUGGAGAUUAUCAGGUUUUCUCGCUGUGCCCUCUUCCUCUCCAGUGCUCUGCGCUGUGCAACUGUAGCCACUUGGGCCUCUUCAAACUCCCUGCUCGGUCUCCUCACCUCUGGGAGACACUAACCUCCACCUGGACCCCCUGCCCUAAGCCACAUACUGGACACUUUAUUCAGGCGGGAACUAGAGCAUUCACCGGGCUCAUUUCACUUGUUUUCAUCCGUUGGGAAUCACCGCCCUUUGCCGGACCACUUCUCAUUGAAGUUUGGGCCACCUACACAGUUCAGGGUGAUACCAAGAUCCUUAAUUACACCUAAAAAGGCACUUUCCCAAAAAGGUUCCAAGGGUUUCAUGUGCAUCGUUCAUUCACUACCCUGACUGCAUAGAUCCCAGUCAAAACUUGGCAAAAGAGAAAGAUGCAUAUGGCCAAGUUUUGGCUGGAGUGCUGCCUGACUCCCCAGUUUUUUUGAGCUCCUGUGUCAGGGACGACUCUCAAGAAUUUAC